CCAGACUCCUACGGGAGGCAGCAGUGGGGAAUAUUGCACAAUGGGGGGAACCCUGAUGCAGCGACGCCGCGUGGGUGAAGGAGCACCUCGGUGCGUAAAGCCCUAUCGGCAGGGAAGAAACAGACGGUACCUGACUAAGAAGCCCCGGCUAACUACGUGCCAGCAGCCGCGGUAAUACGUAGGGGGCAAGCGUUAUCCGGAUUUACUGGGUGUAAAGGGAGCGUAGACGGCGAUGCAAGCCAGAUGUGAAAGCCCGGGGCUCAACCCCGGGACUGCAUUUGGAACUGUGUGGCUGGAGUGUCGGAGAGGCAGGCGGAAUUCCUAGUGUAGCGGUGAAAUGCGUAGAUAUUAGGAGGAACACCAGUGGCGAAGGCGGCCUGCUGGACGAUGACUGACGUUGAGGCUCGAAAGCGUGGGGAGCAAACAGGAUUAGAUACCCGAGUA
rnacentral:rRNA from 1 species